rnacentral:rRNA from 1 species
UAAAAUAUUCCCAAAAGCUAGCUCCUCCUCUAAACUUAACAAACAAACAUUAACUUAAACCCUAAGACCCUAAAAUUUUUAAACAAAUCAUUUUACCUCCAAAGUAUAGGUGAUAGAAAAGGAACAAUGAAGCAAUAGAAAAAGUACCGCAAGGGAAAGCUGAAAGAGAAAUGAAAUAACCCAGUAAAGAGUAAUAAAGCAGAGACAAAACCUCGUACCUUUUGCAUCAUGAAUUAGUUAGUAACUUUCAAGCAAAAUGAAUUUUAGUUUGAAGCCCCGAAAUUGGACGAGCUACUCCAAGACUGCCUUCAGGGCUAACCCGUCUCUGUGGCAAAAGAGUGGGAUGAGCUUAGAGUAGAGGUGACAGACCUAACGAGCCCAAUUAUAGCUGGUUGCCUAUAAAAUGAAUAGAAGUUCAGCCUUUUGGUUUCUCCAAUUUAUUUAGAUCAACAUCUACAACUAAUAAUCAGAAACUUAAAGAGUUAUUCAAAAGGGGUACACCCCUUUUGAAAAAAGAAACAACUUUAUUAAGCAGGCUAAAGAUCAAAAACCCAAAGGCAUUUUCACCUUAGUAGGCCUAAAAGCAGCCACCCAUGCAGAAAGCGUUAAAGCUCAAGUACUAUGCCCCACCCCAAAUACCGAUAAUACACUCUUAAACCUCUUUAUAAAUAAUAGGCCUUUUUAUGUAUACAUAAAAGAGAUACUGCUAAUAUGAGUAAUAAGGGGGACAGACCCCCUCCAAGGCACCUGUUUAAAUCAGAACGAACCCGCACUGAAAAUUAACGCCCCCAAACAAAGAGGGUAGUGAGAAAAUUACAAUAAUCUAGAAAACCUCUCAGACUAACAAACGUUAACCCUACACAGGUGUGCCUAAGGAAAGACUAAAAGAAAAAGAAGGAACUCGGCAAACACGGGCCUCGCCUGUUUACCAAAAACAUCGCCUCUUGCAACUAAAAAUAUAAGAGGUCCCGCCUGCCCUGUGACUUGUCAGUUUAACGGCCGCGGUAUUUUGACCGUGCGAAGGUAGCGUAAUCACUUGUCUUUUAAAUGGAGACCAGUAUGAAUGGCAUAACGAGGGCCCAGCUGUCUCCUUUUUCCAGUCAAUGAAAUUGAUCUCCCCGUGCAGAAGCGGGUAUUUUACCAUAAGACGAGAAGACCCUAUGGAGCUUCAGACAAAAGACAGUCCAUGUUAAUAAACCAAAUUAAUGGGAAAAACAAGAUGGAUCCUGUCCCUAUGUCUUUGGUUGGGGCGACCGUGGAACAACAAAAAACUUCCAUAUGGAAUAGAAUCUAUUUUCUUAAAGCUAGAGCCACAGCUCUUGCAAACAGAACAUCUGGCCAGAAAGAUCCGGCAAAGCCGAUCAAUGGACCGAGUUACCCUAGGGAUAACAGCGCAAUCCCCUUUUAGAGCCCAUAUCGACAAGGGGGUUUACGACCUCGAUGUUGGAUCAGGACCCCCUAAUGGUGCAGCCGCUAUUAAGGGUUU